CGAAGUCCCGCAACGAGCGCAACCCUUGUCCUUAGUUGCCAUCAUUUAGUUGGGCACUCUAAGGAGACUGCCGGUGUUAAACCGGAGGAAGGUGGGGAUGACGUCAAGUCCUCAUGGCCCUUAUGUCCAGGGCUACACACGUGCUACAAUGGCCGGUACAAAGGGCAGCAAAGCCGCGAGGUGGAGCCAAUCCCAGAAAGCCGGUCUCAGUUCGGAUUGGAGUCUGCAACUCGACUCCAUGAAGUUGGAAUCGCUAGUAAUCGCGGAUCAGCAUGCCGCGGUGAAUACGUUCCCGGGCCUU
rnacentral:rRNA from 1 species